CUGGAGAGCACCAGCUCCAGAGAGCACCAGAUGAUCCUCUAAUGCCCAACUCACCCCCUCGGGUGGGAUUCGGGACUGAGCUGAUUUAUGGCAUAGCACAGCAGGCUCUGCAGAGCGGGUUUAUUCAAAUAACAUCAAACUCUAUUCCACUUCUAGUUUAAUUAAAACACAAUUAGCGGGGGCUGGCAGUUUUCUUACAUGUGCCCGGUCUUCUAUGAAAUUAAUAUUAAUCUCCGUGCAGUGUGCGAGCCCGUAAAGUGACACGUGGAAAGUUACACAUUCUUGACUUGGGAAAGGCAAACUGGAGGAUGACUUCAUGUUCCUGAGUGAGGAGAUCGGCACGCCAGAUGCACCGAGUGCCUGACCCCUUUUAAAGGCUCUGCAAGGUCACACGUAACUUUAAAAAUGUCAUUUCAGGCGUGCAGAGGGAAGAAAGAGAGCCCAAAAAGCUUUACGGUACUCAGUUUCCCGUUUCGUUUGGUUUGGGCAGUGUGAAUGGCUCAGUAACACGAACCAGAGCUCUGGUCUCUGUUCUGGCUGCGUGUUUCCAAUAGACACCCUAAUGCCUUUCUCAUGGCUGGAAUGGUUAACAAUCUGUAUUUUCUUGCUAUUAAUUAGAAGCUGUGUUUUCGUUUUCGGAUGAAGAGCGAGCCUCGCAGUGUAGCUGACAAGUUUGCAGUCCUUGCUCUGAGUCAGGCAUUGAAUUUUACUCAAUUGUUUUAUCUGGAGACAAAAGCAACAAACACCCCUUGCAGCAGAGUCACCCAGAGCUACCAGGUCAUAUGAGGAACAUCUCUGUUGAGCAUCUCCAGUGUCGACGACAACUUUUGCUCAGCACCUUCUGGACAUGGAAGUGAAGAGCUGUUUUGGACAGGAGCUGGUUCAAGCCUGUGGAUUCUGGGGUGUUUCUUCAUCCAUCUCUUUCCACCAUCAGUGCAGGAGGUACCCUCUUUACAAACGCUGGUUUUCCCAAAUCCUGGCAAGGAUUUAGUAAGGAUCAGGAAUGAGGCUAAUAAGGCUUACUGAGCCUCAGAUGUGUUUUGCACAUAAAACAUUACACCACUGAACGGGGAGGGUAUUAAUGCUACCGCUGAGAUGAUAUACUAAAUUAUUGGUUGGUCAACAUCAUUUUAUUUACCACAAACUGGGGGCAGACAUUGCAGUGUUGGGAAAUUCAGGACCCCAGAAAAACUACAUGGUGGGAUAGUGUCAUGGGAUAUGUGAAAUGUUUUCUUUCUGGGAAAGAGAGGCUGAGCUGCUGGUACGAUAGCUGAGCCUUUACUCAAUCCUGGCACCUGUAUUGCGGGUAGGAUUAACGUUCUGCUUCCUAACAGCAGAAAAUCAGGUCCAUACGUUUCUAUUUGGACAGUACAAUUAACAAAAAGAAUAACUCCAUUAGCAGGUUGUUCCGGAAACCAGGCGCUGGGCUGCAUUAACGGCACAUGGAUUACCUUCGUGUGGAAAUCAACACGUGCCAACAGGAGCGGUCGCCUUUCCAGGCUCAAACCCAGACCUUGAACGGGGAGCUCUGGGCUGCGCAGGGCGCUGCUAUCUAUCGACGCGGGUCCGUUAUCUAGGA
rnacentral:lncRNA from 1 species